UAGACCUUAAGCAAGCAGUUUCUGCUGCAGUCCGAGGGGUUAAAAGCAGAGCUAGUACUGAGGGAACAGAAAGCAGAGAUCGUGAGAGUUCAGCACAGAUAUGGAGAGAGAACAUUCUCUUUUCAAUGCAGGGAAAGCUCCCAAACCAAACAGAGCUGUGAUUUAGAGGUCUCGGUUUCAGCCACUGGGGCUCCCUUGCUUUGGACAUAUUGAUCCCUUUACACACAGGGAGGAGAGUUUCACUGUUGAGCACCCUUGUCUGUUCUACUUUACCAAGAGGAGUGAAAUCCAGGAGAACAUGCAGUUAGGAGCGUUUCUACUGAGAACCAAGCAGGAGCAUGACAAGCAAGUGCCUGAAGUGUUACAUGAUGAUGUUGGUUGAACUUUGGAUAGCAAUUUCAUAACCCAAG